rnacentral:rRNA from 1 species
UACGUAGGGUGCAAGCGUUGUCCGGAAUUAUUGGGCGUAAAGAGCUCGUAGGCGGUCUGUCGCGUCUGCUGUGAAAACCUGGGGCUUAACCCCGGGCCUGCAGUGGGUACGGGCAGACUAGAGUGUGGUAGGGGAGACUGGAAUUCCUGGUGUAGCGGUGAAAUGCGCAGAUAUCAGGAGGAACACCAGUAGCGAAGGCAGCUCGCUGGGACGUUACUGACACUGAGGCGCGAAAGCGUGGGGAGCGAACAGG